ACUGUUAUGGUCCUUAGUUCAUAAAUGUUCUUUUUUGAUAAAGCUUGAUUUAUUAACCCCACCCUUCAUGCCAUAUGCAUUUCAAUGACACCGGUUCUAUCACUUUUUUCCCACAAUAGUCCAUGACUUUUCCAAAGUGCUUGAGUGAUUGAGAAUGGGUUUUCUUCCCUCAUCUUCUGUUCUGUUUUGUUUUUCUUCUACGACUUCCUACUUCUACACACAUGAACCGUGUUCUAGUAGUUUUCAACCUUGGCAGUUCUACUAUUGUUGUUUCUUGUUGCUCACGACACCCCUGUUGUUGCUUUAUGAUCAUGUUGUGAGUCCGUGCUAGAAUAUGUCGCUUCUGCGAGUGUAUGUAUGCGUGUGAGGUUGAUUCAACAUUUAUUUGUUAGUAUUUUUUUUUAUCGGCAAAGAUAAUAUUUUUUUAUUAGCAAAGAUAAUAUAUUAUAUAUUGAAAGAAGUACCAGAGGUACUUAAAAUACAAAAAGAGUCCAUAUAUAUGGUUCCACAGUCAGACAUUAAUAUUCUGAGGGGGAACCAAGCUAUGGAUACAAUAUGCAUAUGAAUUUACAUGUAUAGAGCUCAUAACUAUGCAAUCCCCUGCUGAUACAUAAAACAUUGUGGAAAAUUACUUGACCAUUGAUUAAAAUGCACUGUGAAAUCCUUCUCAAAACUCCUAAGCCAAGACCAUAGGAGGAAUAUUGCUUCUUCAAACAAUUUAUUAGCAUUAAAAUUUGCAUUAGAGAACACUAUACUGUUUCUAAGUUUCCAUAUGGACCAAGUUAAAGCUAACCACCAGCAUUGCCAUCUAUUAUUCCUUACACCAACAGCUUGAACACCCAAAUGUUGAAGGAAAUGCUGCUUUGGGCUUAAUGGAAAAGCACCCUUAAUUUGCAGCCAUGACAUGGUUUCCCACCAAAUGGGUUGUACUUUACUGCAGUGAAAGAAAAGAUGGGAUGCAUCCUCUUCUUGGGUUCUGCAGAGAGGACAUAUUGUAUCUGUGAGUUGUAUUUGUCUUCUCUGUAAGUUUUGUCUUGUCGGCAGUCUGUCUCUUAUUAAUCUCCACGCAAACACCACAAACCUAGCUGGAAUCCUUAUCCUCCAUAAUUUCUCGAAGCACUCCUCCUGACUGCCAUCUCCUACUUAUUCUCUUAUCAAAUUGUAUGCGUUGUGUGUUGAAUAUUGUCCCGCUGGAUCUCCAGACCACUCCCAAGCAUCUGAAACCUGUUGUUGUACUUUCUUUUAUGCAAUAUCUCUGAGAAAGUUAGUCGCUGAGGUGAUGUCAUUGUCAAACAAUACAUGUAAAUAAACUGCAAUCAUCAUGGUUCCAAAAUCAUACUAAGAGCAGUCUCGAAAGGAACCAUUAGCUGCAGAGGCAGGGAAAUACAGUGACAAGUUGCUCCCACUUCCUAUAUUUUCUACCCCCCUGAAGAGACAAAGGCUGUUGAGAUGUUAGAUGCCCAAUAAGUAUAUGGGAUUGCGAAAUCCUUCUCAAAACUCUUCAGCCAUGUCCAAAGUGUGAAAAUAGCAUCCUCCAUCACCUUGUUACCAUCAAAAGUGUCAUUUGAGAAUAUUAUUUUAUUCCGAUGCUGCCACACUGACCAUGUGAAGGCCAGCCACCAACACCUCCAUCUAUGAGCGCAAAUUCGAUUAGGCAAACAGAUCACAUGAUGGGAGAAAGUCUGCCACGGUUUCUGUGGAAGAACACCAUUGAUGUUGACCCAUGACAUGGAUUCCCAUCAUAGCGGGAUGAUUCUGUCACAUUGAAAGAAUAGAUGUGCUUCCUCCUCAAGUUUGACUUUGUUUGCAAUCUUUCUUUUAUUAGCCUCCAUGCGAAGAUUGCUAUUUUAGGUGGAAUUCAUAUCUUCCAUAAUUCCUCAUACACCCGCGCAUCCUCCCUUUCAAUUUCCUCUACUGUGAGCACUUUAUAGGCACUGCUGGCUGAAUAUUGGCCGCUAGGUUCUAAUGUCCAAAUCCACUCAUCUUUUCUGUGAGGCUGAAUGCAACUGCCAGCAACAUCGUUUAAGAAACAAUCAGCCAUACCAAUCUCACUAUCAAACAGAUUUCUUCUCCAUUUAAAGUUCCACUCCCACCCAAUAUUAGCCUGUUUUCCCAUUUCCUGUAUAGUCUUGUUUUGUUGGCAUAAGAUCACAUAUAAUCUGGGGUAUUUUGCUAGAAAUGAUGUAUCACUAUGGUUCCAUUUGUCCUCCCAAAACUUGAUUUUCUCUCCAUUCCUCGCCUUCCAUGCUAUCCCUCCCUGCAGUGCAGUCUCAUAUUGGGGAUUAUGAAGAGCUAAUUUGAGAUCUUCCCACCACAAGGAGACAUUAUUGUCUCUUGUUGCUACAUCAAGACCCCUCCAACCGCCAUACUUUGAUUCUAGAAUCCUUGCCCAUAGCUCACCAUUGUGAUGGAAUAAAUUCCAUUUCCAUUUGGCAAGCAAUGCAAGGUUAAACUUGGUGAUAUCCUUUAUUCCUAAUCCUCCUUUGUCUUUAGGGAGACAUACCGUCUAUAUUUUGCAAAAUGUGACAAAUAAAGAGAAAAUGUGUCUUAACAUUGACACGAAAUGAAACUUCAUCAACUAAUCUUCAACUUCUUUAUUUUUAUUUUAACGUUAGUAUUCAAAUAUUGAUGCAAGGAAAAAAAAUUAAAAAUUACACUAAGGUUAAGUACCACAGUUGAAAACUAACCAUUAUUCACAUAAGUAGUUGUGAUUUUAUGUUUUUUAAUCAAGUUAUUUAAGAUUUGAUUUGUAAUUAAUCUUUGAGUAUGAAAUAAAUUAUAUUAAAAGAAAAAUAAUUAUCUUUGGUGGACUUAUGAUCUUCGGUAAAUAUUUAUCAUUAUUUUUAGUGGAAAUAAUUUCAUACCAAUAACAUAUUAAAAAAAAAACAAUAGCAGUUGUCUUUGGCGUGUGUGGGGUGUGAGUGUAUCAUAUGUCGCUUCAAAUUGAUCAUUAUUAGUUUGUGUAAGCGGUAGUUAUGGGACUUCACCUUUUUCUGGGGUUCGUGUAAUUGUAAACUAAAAAUUGGUUGGUGCCACCUAAGUGUAAAAUAUGCAUAUUGUGUCUAUGAUACUCCAUAAUACUUGUAUCAUACAAUUAGUAAUCUAAGAUCCUUCUAAUCUUUUGUUUCCCAGGAACUCUAUAGCUAGAAGAUACAUUUGAUUGG
rnacentral:lncRNA from 1 species